UACAUUGGUGUGAACUCUGGCUAACAUGCCGGAUGGUAUGGUUCUUGUACGGAAGACAGAUUUUCCAAUAGUAUGCCCUAUCAACUACCCAGGGUUGCAAACGGGUAACGGGGAAUCAGGGUUUGAUUCCGGAGAGGGAGCCUGAGAAUCGGCUACCACAUCUAAGGAAAGGCAGCAGGCGCGUAAAUUACCCACUCCCAGCUCGGGGAGGUAGUGACGAAAAAUAACAAUACAGGACUCAUAUCCGAGGGCCCUGUAAUUGGAAUGAGUACACUUUAAAUCCUUUUAACAAGGACCAAUUGGAGGGCAAGUCUGGUGCCAGCAGCCGCGGUAAUUCCAGCUCCAAUAGCGUAUAUUAAAGUUGUUGCGGUUAAAACGUUCGUAGUUGAACUUGUGCUUCAUACGGGUAGUACAACUUACAAUUGUGGUUAGUACUAUACCUUUAUGUAUGUAAGCGUAUUACCGGUGGAGUUCUUAUAUAUAAUUAAGUUCUUGUAUUUUUUUAUAUAUUCCUCCUAUUUAAAAACCUGCAUUAGUGCUCUUCAUCGAGUGUUAUUGUGGGCCGGUACAAUUACUUUGAACAAAUUAGAGUGCUUAAAGCAGGCUUCAAAUGCCUGAAUAUUCUGUGCAUGGGAUAAUGAAAUAAGACCUCUGUUCUGCUUUCAUUGGUUUUCAGAUCAAGAGGUAAUGAUUAACAGAAGCAGUAUUACGACGCGAGAGGUAAAAUUCUUGGACCGUCGUAAGACUAACUUAAGCGAAAGCAUUUGCCAAAGAUGUUUUCAUUAAUCAAGAACGAAAGUUAGAGGUUCGAAGGCGAUCAGAUACCGCCCUAGUUCUAACCAUAAACGAUGCCAGCUAGGAAUUGGGUGUAGCUACUUUUAUGGCUCUCUCAGUCGCUUCCCGGGAAACCAAAGCUUUUGGGCUCCGGGGGAAGUAUGGUUGCAAAGCUGAAACUUAAAGGAAUUGAUGGAAGGGCACCACCAGGAGUGGAGCCUGCGGCUUAAUUUGACACAACACGGGAAAACUUACCAGGUCCGAACAUAAGUGUGUAAGACAGAUUGAUAGCUCUUUCUCGAAUCUAUGGGUGGUGGUGCAUGGCCGUUCUUAGUUCGUGGAGGGAUUUGUCUGGUUAAUUCCGAUAACGAACGAAACUCAAAUAUAUUAAAUAGAUAUCUUCAGGAUUAGUGCUCUUCAUCGAGUGUUAUUGUGGGCCGGUACAAUUACUUUGAACAAGCUCACCUCUAGCUGAACCCUCCACGAGGGUGCCGGCUGGGCAAUGGACACUGCAUUACCCCGGACAAGGGUAAUGCACUGUCGCUUGCUCUGUCCGGGGUAAUGCAGUGUCUAGCUAAGGCUAUGGUCCGGCGUCUUCCCGAUUCAAAGUCGGGGGAACCGAACCAGGGCCAUGGCUAGAGGUGCCUGGCGGUCAGGCCUAAAACGCUAGGGGGUGGUCCCCCCGAAAAAUAUUAACCAGUAUGGACCCUCGGGCCAACUAUGGAGUCGAAGAAGGAGCAAGCACGGGUUGGGAUGUCAACCCAAACGUCGGUGGAAAGCGUGACUGCUACCACCGGCGGGCACGGGGAGGAGCAGUCCUACUCGUGCGUGUCGCCAGCGGACACACCUCAGACUAGGCGGGAGCAGCCCAGGUCAGUGGUAAAGGUACUGCUACAACAACA
rfam:Drosophila persimilis strain MSH-3 cont1.015771, whole genome shotgun sequence.